rnacentral:rRNA from 1 species
CAGCAGCAGCCACGGGAAUACGGAGGGUGCAAGCGUUAUCCGGAUUUAUUGGGUUUAAAGGGUCCGUAGGCGGAUCUGUAAGUCAGUGGUGAAAUCUCACAGCUUAACUGUGAAACUGCCAUUGAUACUGCAGGUCUUGAGUAAAUUUGAAGUGGCUGGAAUAAGUAGUGUAGCGGUGAAAUGCAUAGAUAUUACUUAGAACACCAAUUGCGAAGGCAGGUCACUAAGAUUUAACUGACGCUGAUGGACGAAAGCGUGGGGAGCGAACAGGAUUAGAUACCCCGGUAGUCCCUGUCUCUUAUAC